rnacentral:misc_RNA from 1 species
GAUGAAGAACGCAGUGAAAUGCGAUAAUUAAUGUGAAUUGCAGAAUUCAGUGAAUCAUCGAGUCUUUGAACGCACAUUGCGCCCCCUGGUAUUCCGGGGGGCAUGCCUGUCCGAGCGUCAUUGCUGCCCUCAAGCACGGCUUGUGUGUUGGGCUUCCGUCCCUGGCAACGGGGACGGGCCCAAAAGGCAGUGGCGGCACCAUGUCUGGUCCUCGAGCGUAUGGGGCUUUGUCACCCGCUCCCGUAGGUCCAGCUGGCAGCUAGCCUCGCAACCAAUCUUUUUAACCAGGUUGACCUCGGAUCAGGUAGGGAUACCCGCUGAACUUAAGAAUAUCAAUAAGCGGAGGA